UGGGGAAUAUUGGACAAUGGGGGCAACCCUGAUCCAGCAAUGCCGCGUGUGUGAAGAAGGUCUUCGGAUUGUAAAGCACUUUCGACGGGGACGAUGAUGACGGUACCCGUAGAAGAAGCCCCGGCUAACUUCGUGCCAGCAGCCGCGGUAAUACGAAGGGGGCUAGCGUUGCUCGGAAUGACUGGGCGUAAAGGGCGUGUAGGCGGUUUACACAGUCAGAUGUGAAAUCCCCGGGCUUAACCUGGGAGCUGCAUUUGAUACGUGUAGACUAGAGUGUGAGAGAGGGUUU
rnacentral:rRNA from 1 species